rnacentral:tRNA from 1 species
CUCAGCUUCUGGUUGAGCAAUGACAAUCUGCGGUUAAGCGCCGCGAGGAAUCUGCCUCCCAGCCUGAACCAUUGGUUCGGCACCGAUUGGCUGGGGC